rnacentral:piRNA from 1 species
UAUAUUCAAAGGUUUUUGGAA